rnacentral:rRNA from 1 species
ACGGGGGCCCGCAAAAGCGGUGGCGCAUGUGGUUUAAUUCGAAGCAACGCGAAGAACCUUACCAGGUCUUGACAUCCUUUGACCACUCUAGAGAUAGAGCUUCCCCUUCGGGGGCAAAGUGACAGGUGGUGCAUGGUUGUCGUCAGCUCGUGUCGUGAGAUGUUGGGUUAAGUCCCGCAACGAGCGCAACCCUUAUUGUUAGUUGCCAUCAUUUAGUUGGGCACUCUAGCAAGACUGCCGGUGACAAACCGGAGGAAGGUGGGGAUGACGUCAAAUCAUCAUGCCCCUUAUGACCUGGGCUACACACGUGCUACAAUGGGAAGUACAACGAGUUGCGAAGUCGCGAGGCUAAGCUAAUCUCUUAAAGCUUCUCUCAGUUCGGAUUGCAGGCUGCAACUCGCCUGCAUGAAGCCGGAAUCGCUAGUAAUCGCGGAUCAGCACGCCGCGGUGAAUACGUUCCCGGGCCUUGUACACACCGCCCGUCACACCACGAGAGUUUGUAACACCCGAAGUCGGUGAGGUAACCUUUUUGGAGCCAGCCGCCCUUAAGGUUGGAUUAGAUAAUUC